rnacentral:rRNA from 1 species
GGGUUGUGAGGUUAAGCGACUAAGCGUACACGGUGGAUGCCCUGGCAGUCAGAGGCGAUGAAGGGCGUGCUAAUCUGCGAUAAGCGCCGGUAAGGUGAUAUGAACCGUUAUAACCGGCGAUACCCGAAUGGGGAAACCCAGUGUGAUUCGUCACACUAUCAUUAACUGAAUCCAUAGGUUAAUGAGGCGAACCGGGGGAACUGAAACAUCUAAGUACCCCGAGGAAAAGAAAUCAACCGAGAUUCCCCCAGUAGCGGCGAGCGAACGGGGAGGAGCCCAGAGCCUGAAUCAGCAUGUGUGUUAGUGGAAGCGUCUGGAAAGGCGCGCGAUACAGGGUGACAGCCCCGUACACAAAAGCGCAUGUGCUGUGAGCUCGAUGAGUAGGGCGGGACACGUGGUAUCCUGUCUGAAUAUGGGGGGACCAUCCUCCAAGGCUAAAUACUCCUGACUGACCGAUAGUGAACCAGUACCGUGAGGGAAAGGCGAAAAGAACCCCGGCGAGGGGAGUGAAAAAGAACCUGAAACCGUGUACGUACAAGCAGUGGGAGCACCCUUUGGGGUGUGACUGCGUACCUUUUGUAUAAUGGGUCAGCGACUUAUAUUCUGUAGCAAGGUUAACCGAAUAGGGGAGCCGGAGGGAAACCGAGUCUUAACCGGGCGUUAAGUUGCAGGGUAUAGACCCGAAACCCGGUGAUCUAGCCAUGGGCAGGUUGAAGGUUGGGUAACACUAACUGGAGGACCGAACCGACUAAUGUUGAAAAAUUAGCGGAUGACCUGUGGCUGGGGGUGAAAGGCCAAUCAAACCGGGAGAUAGCUGGUUCUCCCCGAAAGCUAUUUAGGUAGCGCCUCGUGAAUUCAUCUCCGGGGGUAGAGCACUGUUUCGGCUAGGGGGCCAUCCCGGCUUACCAACCCGAUGCAAACUGCGAAUACCGGAGAAUGUUAUCACGGGAGACACACGGCGGGUGCUAACGUCCGUCGUGAAGAGGGAAACAACCCAGACCGCCAGCUAAGGUCCCAAAGUCAUGGUUAAGUGGGAAACGAUGUGGGAAGGCCCAGACAGCCAGGAUGUUGGCUUAGAAGCAGCCAUCAUUUAAAGAAAGCGUAAUAGCUCACUGGUCGAGUCGGCCUGCGCGGAAGAUGUAACGGGGCUAAACCAUGCACCGAAGCUGCGGCAGCGACACUGAUGUGUUGUUGGGUAGGGGAGCGUUCUGUAAGCCUGUGAAGGUGUGUCGUGAGGCAUGCUGGAGGUAUCAGAAGUGCGAAUGCUGACAUAAGUAACGAUAAAGCGGGUGAAA